GGGAGAUUUUUCUAGAAAGAUCCCUAUAGACUUGGGAUAACUUUCCGGGAAACCGGGGGGUUAAUGCCCGGAUAAUAUUUAGAACCCGCAUGGUUCUAAAGUGAAAGAUGGUUUUUACUAUCACUUAUAGAUGGACCCGCGCCGUAUUAGCUAGUUGGUGGGGUAAUGGCUUACCAAGGCAACGAUACGUAGCCGACCUGAGAGGGUGAUCGGCCACACUGGAACUGAGACACGGUCCAGACUCCUACGGGAGGCAGCAGUAGGGAAUCUUCCGCAAUGGGCGAAAGCCUGACGGAGCAACGCCGCGUGAGUGAUGAAGGUCUUCGGAUCGUAAAACUCUGUUAUUAGGGAAGAACAAAUGUGUAAGUAACUGUGCACGUCUUGACGGUACCUAAUCAGAAAGCCACGGCUAACUACGUGCCAGCAGCCGCGGUAAUACGUAGGUGGCAAGCGUUAUCCGGAAUUAUUGGGCGUAAAGCGCGCGUAGGCGGUUUCUUAAGUCUGAUGUGAAAGCCCACGGCUCAACCGUGGAGGGUCAUUGGAAACUGGGAAACUUGAGUGCAGAAGAGGAAAGUGGAAUUCCAUGUGUAGCGGUGAAAUGCGCAGAGAUAUGGAGGAACACCAGUGGCGAAGGCGACUUUCUGGUCUGUAACUGACGCUGAUGUGCGAAAGCGUGGGGAUCAAACAGGAUUAGAUACCCUGGUAGUCCACGCCGUAAACGAUGAGUGCUAAGUGUUAGGGGGGUUUCCGCCCCUUAGUGCUGCAGCUAACGCAUUAAGCACUCCGCCUGGGGAGUACGACCGCAAGGUUGAAACUCAAA
rnacentral:rRNA from 1 species